AACGUAGGACGCAAGCGUUAUCCGGAGUUACUGGGCGUAAAGGGCGGGCAGGCGGUCUGUCAAGUGGGGUGUGAAAGCUCCCGGCUUAACCGGGAGGGUGCGGCGAAUACUGAGAUGCUGGAGUGCGGGAGAGGUAAGCGGAAUUCCUGGUGUAGCGGUGAAAUGCGUAGAUAUCAGGAGGAACACCUGCGGUGUAGACGGCUUACUGGACCGUAACUGACGCUGAGGCACGAAAGCGUGGGUAGCAAACAGG
rnacentral:rRNA from 1 species